UCAUGUUUAAUGUUUUACUUUUUUGUAGCACGGACCUUUUUGAAGGAGUGUUCAGGCCAAAACAAAGAUUUGGUUUCUUCCAUUGCUUUUUCUAGUGUAGUACCUAACACAACCAAUGCAAACCAUCAGCAUGUAAAUGUUUUGGUGACGUCAGGAGGGUUAAUACCCUCUCUUGUCAAAUGCUUGCUCUUUCGUCUCGACGGUUUAAUACCACAUGGAAAUGGUAAGUUGUUGUCUUCUCUUAAUAAACUUAUGACGAAUAUCAAUAUCUUUUUAUAGUUCGUUAGUGUAGCUUGCCAUUGUUAAUAAAUUUCAUGAUUAUUUUGUUUCAGUUUAUAGCUCUUGUGUAGUGGGAAAAACUCAAUGUUUCCGAUGGAUCAAGGAGCGUUUCAACCAUCCGAAUGUCCGCUUUUGUGUAAUUGGAGAUGGAUGGGAAGAAUGUCAAGCUGCGGAAAUCAUGAGAUGGCCAUUUAUUAGGAUUGACCUGCGGCCAGACAAACUUCAUAGGUUCCCUGGUCUCUCAUUGACAACAGUUGGCCACUAUUUUGCAGUGGUAUACGGAAGCCCAGAUGAUGAGAAUGAUGCUACCUAGCCUUCUCUGGAAUUUCUCUACAAAAGAUUUCCACAAAAUAGUUGAAAUCGUGUUGCUAAAUGUAUGAAUUGUUGCCUUAAUAUUGCUGUCACAACUUUGGUGGUAAUUGGUCUUUAGAAGAGAUUAGAUUUAACUAUUUCCUCUUGCAAUGCAAUAGCUUAAGAUGUAUAGAUGUUUAAGUUGAUGGAAUGUAGAUGAUCCACCACUUAUCAUGUAUGUAACAUGCUUCAAAUUUAUAAUUAGCAGUAGUUGAUUAAUUGGUUUUAGGUCUUGGAUGUUUCGACGGAGAAACAAGUUGCUUAUUAUAAAAAGUACAGGUGUCAAACGGGGGGAGGCGGGCAAGUUCGAGCUGACUCGCCACUAGCAACCAGUCAAAAUUAGAAAAGAAGUUCACUCGUAUUUUAAACGGCUCAAGAAAAUGCUAAUAUAACUUGGCUAAUAUAACUUGAUUUGUUGGAGUUUACGAGUUAGACGAGUCGAUUUGUUUGAAUUUUUUUUUUUUUUUAAUUUUGGAUGUUUAGACAAAGAAAACAAGUGGCUUAUAAAAGGUAAAGAUAAAAUGUAUGAAACAAGAAAUUAAUUGGGUAGCCGGUGUGUAUUUGUUAAAUUACAAUUAGUGGAAAAAGUUACGAAAUAAAUAAUAAAAGGCUAAAGAAUUAUUUUAAUUCUUAACAUUUCAACCAAGUUUUAACUUCGGUUAAGUUUCAAUUUAACAUAAUUUAAUAUAAUUGCGUAAUAUAAAAUCCAACACAAAUCCAUACUAUAUUCAUUAGGAAAAAUAACAAUUUAAAAGAAAAUAUGUGAGAGUGAAAGUGUGGGUGUGGCUGUUGCAAGAAAGACCAAAGAAGAGGGAUUAAUUUAGGAUUAAGAGAUGUAUAUAUAUAAAGAAAGACUAGAUAAUUUUUAUAUUUAUGAGAAUUUAGCAAGUCCUUGUAGGGUGGAUACCUGUGUCCCUGAUCUCGUCUCUUUAUAUUUGCGGAGAUGGGUCUCUGACCCUGUUUUUAUUUACGUGGGUUUGCAUUUAGCCUCUCGUCCCAAGUCUUUUUUGCGAAUACCCUUUUUAGGGGGUUUUUUUUGUCCUCCAGAAGUGUAAGGAUAAUUUUAAAAAGUAUUUACAAUGAAUAUAAAAGAAAAGUAGUGAAAACAAAGAUAGAAAGAGUAAAUAUACAUAAUGUUUAGGGAAAAAGACAAAUAAGUUCCUGACUUUUUAAACUUUUGACAAAUACAUUUCUGACAAAAUUUAAAUACAAAAAAGUCCCUGACUUUAACAAAUGGAGGACAAUUUAGUCCUUCCGUCUAUUUGCCUCUCAUACACCAAACGGAACUGGCUGACGUGGCUGAAACGGUGUCCAGGUAUCCGUUACGGUGCCACGCUGGAAGGGGAAUAAAGUUCGAAGGACAAAUAAGUCUUUGACGUCAUUUUACAAAUAAAGUUCGAAGGACAAAUAGGUCCUUGAGAAUUUUUUUUUUUCAAAAUUAAUAAACUCCUUUCCUAAAUUCUCUAAUGCUAAUUUAAUACAUAAAUGAUGCACAAAUGAACUAAUGCUAACUUGAUGCAUAAAUGAACUGAUACUAACUAAUGCCACUGGUAUGAUGAAAACUGAACUAAUGCAAUUUACAAAUUCUAAUAUAAUACACAAAUACACUAAAACUGAACUAAUGCAAUUUAAGAAAAAAAAAAGUAGAAACAGAACAAACCCAAUUUCUACAAUUUUAAUACAAAUAAUUUAAAUAGUAGAAUACAACAAGUUAACUAUAUUUCAAAAUACAAGUAUGAGAUAUGAGAUGAGCCCGCAAGUACAUCAGGUUAAAAUAGACGAUACAUAACAUAGUUUCCGGAGCAUUAUUAAAGUGAUGAAUAUGCUGGAAGUUUGUACUAAACUAACUUUUUAACCUUAGUUGUCAGUAUUUAUCUAAUGGUUUAAAGUAAUGAGAAAAAAAGUUUAGUUACUUUUUAAGAUUAUUGUUAUCAAAUUUUUAGUUAUUUUUGAAAAAAUGGAGAAUGAGUUGCAGAAAUGGUAGAUGGUUAAAAACAUUUUUCAACCUUAUGAGAUGAGCCCGCAAGUACAUCAGGUUAAAAUAGACGAUACAUAACAUAGUUUCCGGAGCAUUAUUAAAGUGAUGAAUAUGCUGGAAGUUUGUACUAAACUAACUUUUUAACCUUAGUUGUCAGUAUUGCUUAUUUAUCUAAUGGUUUUGGACUUUAUACAAUAUUAUGUGAUAUAUCGUGUAUCCAUUACUUCCCAAUAUUCCUUUUAGAAUCUGAUGUAUCAGUAUGUCUUGCUGAGGUAAAUAGAUAUUGAGUCAUUGAUUUUCAGAAGAAUGUGUAAGAACAUGGUACCUUGAACGGUUAUAGGUUAUAACAGUGGCAGAAAUAGGAUAGAGCAGUAGUAGAGAUGUAGAAUAUAGCAGAAAGUGAGAUAGGAAUGCAGGUGUUGUAUGAUAUCAGAAUGAUAUCAUUCUCUGCCUCUACUGGUGUUGCUGUUGAAUUCACUCCUCUUUUUUCUUAUAGUAACUAUCCUCUCUCUCCUCUAACAAAAUCAUUUUCUCAAUGCUCACAUCCUCUAACAAGAGCUCGUCCCACUUCAUUUCUCUCUUCUUUUUCCCAUUGAUACUUCAACAAACUUGACCGAAUUCUUCUCUCUUAUGAGCCUUGCUUUUUAGUGCGAAAUGGUAACUUUCUUUUUAAUGAUUGAAACAUGAUUCACUAGAUGAACUGAGAAAAGAACUAGAGCUCGAUAGUUAGGGUGUAAGUAACCAAAUAAGUUGUAGUUUUACUUGGCAUUUGCUUCCCAUCAUUAAGGUGAUCUAAGGAUACAUUUAAAUAACCUUGCCACUUGUUUUAGGGUUUGCAUAAUAUUUUAGAUCACGAGGCGCAGAAAUUUUGGGAUGAAUUGUAUGAUAAAACUGAUGAAUAUACUGACAGAUGGCUGUCUUCAGGUAUGUUUUCCAAUUAUAUGAAUUCUAUUGCUUGAUCUGUUUCAUUUAUAUCUUUCAUGUUUAAUGUUUUACUUUUUUGUAGCACGGACCUUUUUGAAGGAGUGUUCAGGCCAAAACAAAGAUUUGGUUUCUUCCAUUGCUUUUUCUAGUGUAGUACCUAACACAACCAAUGCAAACCAUCAGCAUGUAAAUGUUUUGGUGACGUCAGGAGGGUUAAUACCCUCUCUUGUCAAAUGCUUGCUCUUUCGUCUCGACGGUUUAAUACCAC
rnacentral:lncRNA from 1 species